rnacentral:rRNA from 1 species
AAAUUUAAAUACUUUUUAAAGUAUCAAUUGGAGGGCAAGUCUGGUGCCAGCAGCCGCGGUAAUUCCAGCUCCAAUAGCGUAUAUUAAAAUUGUUGCAGUUAAAAAGCUCGUAGUUGAAUUUUUGCUAAAAAUAACCGGUCUGCUUUUAUUAUUAAAAGUGGCAUCUUGGUGUGUUUUUAGCAAUAAUGUCCUUUGAAAUGUUUUUUACUUUAUUGUGAGAAGCAAUUUUCAGGAUUUUUACUUUGAGAAAAUUAGAGUGUUUCAAGCAGGCUAACGUUUUGAAUACUGCAGCAUGGAAUAAUAAAAUAGGAUUUUAGUUCUACGUUAUUGGUUUUAAGAACUAAAUUAAUGAUUGAUAGGAGCAGUUGGGGGCAUUUGUAUUUAACUGUCAGAGGUGAAAUUCUUAGAUUUGUUAAAGACACACUACUGCGAAAGCAUUUGCCAAAGAUGUUUUCAUUAAUCAAGAACGAAAGUUAGGGGAUCGAAGACGAUCAGAUACCGU